rnacentral:rRNA from 1 species
CAAAGCGGAUCUUUUAAAUCAUGCACCGAGAAAAACCCAUAUGUAUACUAAGGCGCCCGUACCGGAAACCGACACAGGUGGGUGGGCAUGAAUGUGCCAAGGCGCGUGAGUGAAACCUCGUUAAGGAACUCUGCAAUCUAGCCCCGUAACUUCGGAAGAAGGGGUGCCCACUUUUAGUGGGUCGCAGUGAAAUGGGUGUACCGACUGUUUAUCAAAAACACAGCACUCUGCUAAGUCGUAAGACAACGUAUAGGGUGUGACACGUGACCAAUGCGGAAAGAUUACGGUAAGUGGUUAGCGCAAGCGAAGCUACGAGCCCAAGUCCCCGUGAAUGUCGGCCGUAACGAUAACGGUCCUAAGGUAGCGAAAUUCCUUGUCGGGUAAGUUCCGACCUGCACGAAUCGUGUAACGAGUGCACCGCUGUCUCAACGAGGAGCUCAGCGAAGUUGUAAUGGCGGUGAAGAUGCCGCCUACCCGCAGCAGGACGGAAAGACCCUAUGCACCUUUACUGUACGCUGUUACUGUGUUUUCGAUUUUCAUGCUUAGCGUAAGUGGGAGACUUUGAAGCCAUUCUUUCGGGGAUGGCCGAGUCGUCAAUGAAACACCACCCUUGGAAAUUGGAAACUCUAACCCUCGCCCAUCAACUGGGGAGGGGACACUGGCAGCCGGUCAGUUUUACUGGGGCGGUAUCCUCCCAAAGAGUAACGGAGGAGUACGAAGUUUGGCUCAACCUGGUUGGCAAUCAGGUGACGAGUACAUGGAUAUAAGCCAGACUAACUGUGAGACCUACAAGUCGAGCAGAUGCGAAAGCAGGUCCAAGUGAUCCGGUGGUUGAAAGUGGAAUCGCCAUCGCUCAACGGACAAAAGGUACGCUAGGGAUAACAGGCUGAUCGAGUCCAAGAGCUCAUAUCGACGACUCGGUUUGGCACCUUGAUGUCGGCUCAUCACAUCCUGGGGCUGGAGAAGGUCCCAAGGGUCCGGCUGUUCGCCGGUUAAAGUGGUACGCGAGCUGGGUUCAGAACGUCGCGAGACAGUUCGGUCCUUAUCCGCUGUGGGCGCAGGAAAGUUGAGGGGUUUAAACCUUAGUACGAGAGGACCGGGUUUAACGAACCUCUGGUGUUCCAGUUGUCGUGUCAACGGCAGUGCUGGGCAGCUACGUUCGGAAGAGAUAAGCGCUGAAAGCAUCUAAGCGCCAAGCUCCUCCCAAGAUUGACUUUCCCUGAAGAGUCGUGGUAGACCACCACGUUGAUAGGCCAUGGGUACAAGCGCAGUAAUGUGCUCAGCUUAGUGGUACUAAUAACUCGUCCGGCUUGAUCCA